GUGCACACAUCCCAGUUCUCUUAGGGAUGAUUAUGUGGACCCGUGGUGUAGUUCUUCUUCCCUGAAGCUCAACACGAGGAAACCAUGGCACCAAGGUGCCCAAGGUUCAUGCCAACCAGCAGAGAUCUCAGUCGGGAAGGACUAACAGCAGCCUAAUAUGGUGCAUCCUUGCUCUCCAAAGGAAGUCACAGCAGGUGACAAGUGGAGAUCUUUAUCUCCGACGUUAAGCUACUCAAGUAAACUAGUGUGGAUGCCAAACAGAUGAAGAGGAGGGAUGUGCAGUGCGGACAGACGGGGAGCUUUGUGAGUUUUCUGAACUGCCUUGCAACUGCAGAGCCAGACAUGGACAUGAAGGAGAAACUGAGGCACCAAAGAUGCUGUGAGCAAACCCAACCAGCUGCCUCUUACUCUGGAAAAGUCCCCGUGACAGAAGCCCACCAAGGGGCAGGACCCAGGAACAGUACUGCACUUAAUCUUCCCACACUAUUGCUGCCUGUAUUUAUUACUUUGACUUUGGGGGAACAGAGAGAUGGCGUGAAUGGGUGAAGAAGAGAGAAUAAAAAUCUGAAAGGCUGAUGUACCAGCCUUCAGCCUAUGAAAUUGGGUCUGGAGAGGAGACAGCUCGACCCUCCCCAGCUCCAGACCGGAAUAGAGACAGCUGGAUCUCCCUGACCAACUUCACUUCUUCAGAAUCUGCCACUGCCUAUCCCUGGUCUGCUGACUGCCUCCUACU